UACGUAGGGUGCGAGCGUUAAUCGGAAUUACUGGGCGUAAAGCGUGCGUAGGCGGUUCGUUAAGUGCGUCGUGAAAGCCCCGGGCUCAACCUGGGAAUGGCGAUGGAAACUGGCGGGCUGGAGUAUGGCAGAGGGGGGUGGAAUUCCGCGUGUAGCAGUGAAAUGCGUAGAGAUGCGGAGGAACACCGAUGGCGAAGGCAGCCCCCUGGGCCAAUACUGACGCUGAGGCGCGAAAGCGUGGGGAGCAAACAGG
rnacentral:rRNA from 1 species